GUACAUGCUGUUUAAUCCGCCAUUGAAGUUGCUUAUUCUCAGUGUCACGUGCUCCCAGUCUCCCACGUGUUGGCCGAUUUUCCCCAACGGGAUGUUGAUGAAGACCAAUUUGGCUCUUGAUGGGCCGUUGAAUGGGUAGAAAAUCCAGAUGGAAAUGAAGGUCUAUCCAGUAUGCUCCGUCGUUGUCUCCUCCUUGAGGAAGAAGGAUAGAGCCAAAUUCAUCUAUUAUAACAGUUUUUGAUUCUUCACCUCUGGUACAGAGUAAUGCCCCAUUUGUGAAAAACCACUUGAUUGAAGAAGGGAGAUACUUUUCAUCAGGAUGAAGGUACAUCAAUGGAGCAUAAGCUUCCAUUAAUGCUUCAGCUUGGGGUAGAUUAGGCAUGGAGGAGAAGUCAAGUUUGGUAUUUUUCAAGCAGGAUGUUGAAAGAGUGCCAUUAGUUUCUCCAUUCUGAGCAAGAAAAGUGCCUACAGGAACACCUGGAGCUUGAAUUCCUCUGCUUGUUGGUCUUGUGUUGUAGAUAUUGAACCCUUCUGAGUCACUGCUUCUCUUGCCCGGUCCCCAAAUCCAUGAGUGUGUCUCGGAUUGAUCAGUGAGGUCUGACCUGACACAUCGGAUUCUGUCGAGGGAAGGCUUCUCCGGCGAGGCAGUGACGACAUGGCCGAUGGCCUUGUAACCAUCAGGAGGUGUUGGUAACCAGAUAUAGCCUGUGUUGUCUUGCUUGAUAUCCAGAGAGUUACUAGUCCAGACCAGAGUGUAAUCAGCUGGUUUUGCUAGAGCUGCACUAAUUUCAGCAGAAGAAUUUUGUUUAGCCACAAGAAUCCAUCCAGAAAGAGGCUUGUUAUUGGGUUGGGCAUGGAACCUAAAAUGGAGAAUCCGUCAGGAAUGGAAGCUGGUUCAAAGAAAGUAGCCCCGGCAUUGGCGGGUCCUCCUUCGAAAGUGGCCCAAACUUUGUUAAAGCUUGAAACAUGAGACACUUGAAGCUCACCCAGAUCAAUGCUUCCGCUGCCAAAUCCAUUACCUGCAUAAAAAGCAUACGUGAAUGAUAACACGGAUCAUUUCAAUACUAAAGUUUUGAACAAUGUCAGAACUAUAUAAACAGGAAUAUGAAGAAGGAAAGGGAAUAUGGACCUUGGGGCCAAACUGGGAUUUCAGCAGGAAGCUUGAAUGGAGUGUCAAUGGGAAGAGCUUUUCUUUUAUUUGAAGAAGAAGAACGGUUCCCCAUUGUUGAUGAGUUAUACUUUAUUUCAGAGGAGGUUGAAUUAAUCUGUAUUGUGUAUGGUGAACAAGGCUGAUUGGCUUUAUGCGCGCGCGCGCGCGCACAGAUAAGAAAGCAUAUAUUCUUCGCAGGAAUAUAUGGAGAGGGUGCAAAAGUCAACACGAAGAUCAAAUUAGCAAAAAACGACCAUUGAAAACGAGGAUCGGAGUUGCUCUUAUUUGUAGGAGAUUGUUCCCAUUACGAAACCACUUGUUUGUGUCCAAGUCUAACAUUAUGAAGCAAACCUUCAUGGCGGAUUCUACAGCAAAUUAAA